AUGCAGAUCGCGCUCGAGGCCGUGAUCGACGACAAGCUGGCGGCCCCGCUGGAGUUCACGGGAGGGGAGGUUGGCGGCCCGGAUGGGGCGCUUGAGCUCGAGCACCCAAUGCAGCCCGACCUGAUCAGCGCUGCGUGCCGCCCCCCCCCCAUCCGCGCUCUUCCCCGCCCCCGCGCCGCCCCUGAUCCCCAGCGGCCCGUCAUCGUCCCCGUCUCCCGCUCCACGGAAGCGCCCUGCUGCUCCACCAAAAUCAAGGGCUGCUUCCGUGCCGGUGCGCCACAGUGCACGUCAGGCGGCCCUCAACUCCACGGUGCCGGUGGCUCAGCGUGCUGCGCUGCGGAUAGUCCAGGAGCUUGGCGGCCUCGGCUCAAAGGAGAGGAUGACCAUCAAGGCAGCUGA
rnacentral:rRNA from 1 species